ACAUAGAAGUAAAAUAUACAUUUAGCUUCGACCUAAACUCUAAGAAUAACUUUCUUCAUGUU
rnacentral:tRNA from 1 species